rnacentral:rRNA from 1 species
CCUACGGGGGGCUGCAGUAAGGAAUAUUGGUCAAUGGAGGAAACUCUGAACCAGCCAUCCCGCGUGAAGGAUGAAGGGGCUCUGCCUUGUAAACUUCUUUUGUCUGGGGCGAAAAAGCUCGAUUUAUCGCGAACUGACGGUACCAGAAGAAUAAGCACCGGCUAACUCCGUGCCAGCAGCCGCGGUAAUACGGAGGGUGACAGCGUUACUGGGAAUCACUGGGUUUAAGGGGUGCUAGUACGGCUGUGGUGAAAGGCUGUGGCUUAACCAUGGAAUUGCCAUUGAUACUGCAGGGCUUGAAUGAGGUUGAGGUUGGCGGAAUGUGACAUGUAGCGGUGAAAUGCUUAGAUAUGUCAUGGAACACCGAUUGCGAAGGCAGCUGACUGGACCUAUAUUGACGCUGAGGCACGAAAGCGUGGGGAGCGAACAGGAUUAGAUACCCGAGUAGUC